GUGCCAGCAGCCGCGGUAAUACGUAGGGUGCGAGCGUUGUCCGGAAUUAUUGGGCGUAAAGAGCUUGUAGGUGGCUCGUUGCGUCGGGAGUGAAAACCUGCGGCUUAACCGCAGGCCUGCUUCCGAUACGGGCGAGCUAGAGUUCGGCAGGGGAGACUGGAAUUCCUGGUGUAGCGGUGGAAUGCGCAGAUAUCAGGAGGAACACCGGUGGCGAAGGCGGGUCUCUGGGCCGAUACUGACACUGAGAAGCGAAAGCGUGGGGAGCGAACAGGAUUAGAUACCCUCGUAGUCC
rnacentral:rRNA from 1 species